CCAGUCACCAUCGAUGUGCUAUCUAGAUUCUUCUUAAAAAAAUAUAUCAUGGUCUAAUGCUCUCCAUAAAAAAGAUGCUCUAAUAUUCAGUCAUGGUUCAUCGAGGUUUCUCUCAUUUGCCUUCUAUGUAUGCCACCUAUGCUGCUUUUUCAGACUCCUACAAAGGCAGUUAUCCACCUGCUUAAUCCUAAAAGCCCUUGAACGCAAAUUAUCCAUUAGAAGGAAUAUCAACCACUCGUUAUCUCUAGUUGGGUCCCAUUUGAGAUUUAAUGUUGGAAAUCGACAUCAGUAUAUAUGGAUUACCUUGAUAGUGACAACAAAGGGAAUCUCAUCAGUAAGUGUCUGCUUGUUAUUGCGCUCUUUGUUGUUAAAAUUAUAAUGUAGUUAAGUUACUUAGACACAUUCUUUCAUAAAGCUCUAAAUCAUUCUUUCUUC